rnacentral:rRNA from 1 species
AACGAACGCUGGCGGCAUGCCUAACACAUGCAAGUCGAACGAAGGCUUCGGCCUUAGUGGCGCACGGGUGCGUAACGCGUGGGAAUCUGCCCUUUGGUUCGGAAUAACAGCUGGAAACGGCUGCUAAUACCGGAUGAUGACGAAAGUCCAAAGAUUUAUCGCCAGAGGAUGAGCCCGCGUUGGAUUAGGUAGUUGGUGGGGUAAAGGCCUACCAAGCCGACGAUCCAUAGCUGGUCUGAGAGGAUGAUCAGCCACACUGGGACUGAGACACGGCCCAGACUCCUACGGGAGGCAGCAGUGGGGAAUAUUGGACACUGGGCGCAAGCCUGAUCCAGCAAUGCCGCGUGAGUGAUGAAGGCCCUAGGGUUGUAAAGCUCUUUUACCCGGGAAGAUAAUGACUGUACCGGGAGAAUAAGCCCCGGCUAACUCCGUG